CCGUCUCCGUUACGUCCUCUGGGGAGGUGAGAGCGAACUCGUAAGGGAACUCGUUGGGGAAAAGAUGACUCAGAGUUGAUUCGGAGACAAGGGCUUUCUCCAUUGGUCGUUCGAAUGCCGAAGUUGGGGAAAAGAUGACUCAGAGUUGAUUCGGAGACAAGGGCUUUCUCCAUUGGUCGUUCGAAUCCCGAGAGACAAGGCGAAUUGAUGUCAGAGGACGCGGCGGCUACUGGCGGCGCUAACAUUACGACAGUGGUCCUCUGUUUGUUUGUGUAAUAAAAAUUGUUAGAAGAGGCUAACAGAGGGUUCUCUGUUUAUAAAGGUACCAGGAAGGUUUAAUGAGACAGCUAAAAAUAUUAUAAUAUUUGCUUUUGUACCCC
rnacentral:lncRNA from 1 species